GUUAGGAAUAUUGGACAAUGGACGCAAGUCUGAUCCAGCCAUGCCGCGUGAGUGAUGAAGGCCUUCGGGUUGUAAAGCUCUUUAGCCGAUGAUUAUAAUGACUGUAGUCGGAAAAUAAGCCCCGGCUAACUUCGUGCCAGCAGCCGCGGUAAUACGAAGGGGGCGAGCGUUAUUCGGAAUCACUGGGCGUAAGGCGUGCGUAGGCGGUUUUGUAAGUUGGGAGUGAAAGCCCAGGGCUCAACCCUGGAAUUGCUCUCAAAACUACAAGACUUGAAUUCGGGAGAGGAUAGCGGAAUUGUCAGUGUAGCAGUGAAAUGCGUAGAUAUUGACAGGAACACCAGUGGCGUAAGCGGCUAUCUGGACCGACAUUGACGCUGAGGCACGAAAGCGUGGGGAUCAAACAGGAUUAGAAACCCGAGUAGUCC
rnacentral:rRNA from 1 species